UACCAGCACCCCGAGUGGUCGGGACGAUUAUUGGGCCUAAAGCAUCCGUAGCCGGUUUUACAAGUCCUCCGUUAAAUCCAGCUGCUUAACAGAUGGGCUGCGGAGGAUACUAUAAGACUAGGAGGCAGGAGAGGCAAGCGGUACUCAGUGGGUAGGGGUAAAAUCCGUUGAUCCAUUGAAGACCACCAGUGGCGAAGGCGGCUCACUGGACCGGAACUGACGCUGAGGCGCGAAAGCGUGGGGAGCAAACAGG
rnacentral:rRNA from 1 species